rnacentral:misc_RNA from 1 species
AGCUGACUCUUGUGAGGCUAUGCUGG